rnacentral:rRNA from 1 species
CCUACGGGUGGCAGCAGUGAGGAAUAUUGGUCAAUGGACGAGAGUCUGAACCAGCAAAGUAGCGUGAAGGAUGACUGUUCUAUGGUUUGUAAACCUCUUUUAUAAAGGAAUAAAACGAGGCACGUGUGCCUUAUUGCACGUACUUUAUGAUUAAGGAUCGGCUAACUCUGCGCCAGCAGCCGCGGUAAUACGGAGGAUCGUAGCGUUAUCAGGAUUUAUUGGGUUUAAAGGGAGCGUAGAUGGGUUGUUAAGUUAGUUGUGAAAGUUUGCGGCUCAACCGUAAAAUUGCAAUUGAUACUGGCAGUCUUGAGUACAGUUGAGGUAAGCGGAAUUCGUGGUGUAGCGGUGAAAUGCUUAGAUAUCAAGAAGAAUCCCGAUUGCGAAGGCAGCUUACUAAACUGUGACUGACAUUGAUGCUCGAAAGUGUGGGUAUCAAACAGGAUUAGAUACCCUUGUAGUC